UGAUUAAGAGUCUGCUGGAGCUGAGUGAGGCAGCACACAUGGAUUCAGUUAAAACAUUCCUGUCUCUUUGGCAAGGAAGUUCAUUUCUUCCUCCACAUGAUCCUCCAAAGGUCCUAGGUCAGAAGAGGCACCCCCACAGAGACUGGGAUGGAUUGUUACCAACUUCCUGCCUCCUUGUGAGAAUGACUUGAGGAAGGAGAGAAACAGAUCUCUGUGAAGAAGGAUGACGGGGGAAAUCUCAGAUUUUCAGUGAUGCAUCACCCACACAGCUGCAGCACUCUAAGAAGAAACAUUGCUGCCAACGUCUGUGAUAAAGUGAGAGAGGAAAAACAGAGAAAGAGAGGCUGAUGAAGAAAUACAAGGCCUAACAAGGUUAUAUAUGCCAUCAAGAUUAGAGCUUUCACCAAUGUCAUUCUACGUUGCUGUUCAAGUGUAUUGUUUUUCACGUUACCAUUUAUAUUGAUUUUCAGUUAUACUAGAAGCAUCUCGUCUUUAGUGAUGAGCAGGAGAAAGGAUUCCCUCUAAAGAGCCUGGCUGCAGAAAACGUGAUGAUUUCUGAGCUCUGUGUGCUGCACACUCUCUAUGAGCCAUCACGUUCAGGCAUGGCAUAGUCUAACAUUACAAAACAAUAACUUCAAAUCACCAAACAGCUUCUCCAAUUACAUCUUGUUCCUCUUGUAAUAAUAUUACAGAAAAUGACAUUAUUCUUUAUUAUGGAGGAUGUUUUCAGACAUGUAACGCCACAACCACAAAAUGAUGCUUGAGCACCCUGAAAUUCUUUAGAACUACAGUGCAGUACCUUCAUAUCUCUAUGCAUAAUACAUCUGCAUGAUUACUUAACAAUAGCGCAAAAUGUAAACACUUAUGUCAUAGUGUAUUCUCAGAUAUACAUACACACACAAACAUAUAUGUGUAUAUAUAAUCAUUUGCAUAUACACACACUGUUUACACUGCACACUGUAUAUCUUCUAUACUUGCACUACCUGUGACACCUGUAGCUAUUCCAAUUACUGUUGCAUAGAGAGGAUUAUUCCAGUACCUUUACCUAUAUAUGUGAUUCCUCAUAGGAUGUAUUUCACCAGUACAUGCUGAUUUCUCAUUUAUUUAUUUUAUCUCAAGCUCUUCCUUUUCCUAUACUGAAACUAUGUGUACUGUCUAAUUUAUGUUUGCUGCUGUAAAAUAAUUUCCCAGUCAUGAUCAAUUAAGUACAGCAAUCCAUGUCUGUACAGUAUUUAUUUAAUACUAUGUUGAUUGUUACAUGCUGACUCUGCAGGUGGGUGUCUCAGGCCAAAAACCCCACAACCUGUCUAU